rfam:Gossypium raimondii Chr12_contig_833, whole genome shotgun sequence.
UCUUAAAAAAUCCAUCUAUUUCUAUUAUUAAAACUAACAUAGCUAACAAAUAAUUAAACAGUGGCACAUGGUGUGCCCGACGUACCUCAUGUUGACAUAUAGAGAUAAGUUUUUAAUAAUAGAAAUUGAUGAAAUUUUAACA